rnacentral:rRNA from 1 species
GUCUUUUUGAUAAUAAUUUAAGGUCUAAUCUGCUCAAUGAUAAAUUUAAAUAGCCGCAGUACUUUGACUGUGCAAAGGUAGCAUAAUAAUUAGUUUCUUUAUUAGUAACUUGAAUGAAUGAUUGGACAAGAAAAUUUCUGUCUCUUUUUAAUUUUUUUUGAAUUUAAUUUUUAAGUUAAAAUGCUUAAUUGUAUAUAAAAGACGAGAAGACCCCAUAGAGUUUUAUUUUUAAAAAUUUUAGUAUAAAUUUUAUAAUUAAAAAAUUAGUUGGGGUGACUUAAAGAUUAAAUUAACUCUUUAAAUUAAAAAUCAUUAAUUUGUGAAUAAUAAUUCUAAUUAUUUUAAAUUUAAAUAAAAUUACCUUGGGGAUAACAGCGUAAUUUUUUUUAGAGUUCUUAUCAAAUAAGGAGAUUGCGACCUCGAUGUUGGAUUAAAAUUUAUUUUAGGUGUAGAAGCUAAAAAUUAAGUCUGUCGACUUAAA